GGGCAAAUACCAGAGUGGACAAAUGGGGCAGACUGUAAAUCUGCUGGCUUACGCCUUCGGUGGUUCGAAUCCAUCUUUGCCCA
rnacentral:tRNA from 1 species